rnacentral:rRNA from 1 species
GUAGUUAGCCGGGGCUUUCUUACAGGGUACCGUCACUUCUUCGUCCCCUGCGACAGAGGUUUACAAUCCGAAAACCUUCUUCCCUCACGCGGCGUUGCUGGGUCAGGCUUGCGCCCAUUGCCCAAUAUUCCCCACUGCUGCCUCCCGUAGGAGUCUGGACCGUGUCUCAGUUCCAGUGUGGCCGAUCAGCCUCUCAGCUCGGCUACCCAUCGUCGGCUUGGUGGGCUGUUAUCUCACCAACUACCUAAUGGGACGCGAACCCCUCUAAAAGCGAUAAAUCUUUGACCUCUUCCCGAUGCCGGGUUGUGGUCUUAUGCGGUAUUAGCAGUUGUUUCCACCUGUUAUUCCCCACUCUUAGGCAGGUUGUUCACGCGUUACUCACCCGUGCGCCACUAGAAUUAUCAAUUCCAUCCGAAAACUUCCUUAAUAAUCCCCGUUACGACUUGCAUGUGUUAGGCACGCCGCCAGCGUUCGUCCUCGAGCACGAAUACGAACCUACGA